rnacentral:rRNA from 1 species
GGGCCCGCACAAGCGGUGGAGCAUUUGGUUUAAUUCGAUGCAACGCGAAGAACCUUACCAGCCCUUGACAUCCUCGGAACUUGGCAGAGAUGCCUUGGUGCCUUCGGGAAUCGAGUGACAGGUGCUGCAUGGCUGUCGUCAGCUCGUGUCGUGAGAUGUUGGGUUAAGUCCCGCAACGAGCGCAACCCACGUCCUUAGUUGCCAGCAUUUAGUUGGGCACUCUAGCGAGACCGCCGGUGAUAAACCGGAGGAAGGUGUGGAUGACGUCAAGUCAUCAUGCCCCUUACAUCCUGGGCUACACACGUACUACAAUGCUACGGACAAAGGGCAGCAAACUCGCGAGAGCUAGCAAAUCCCAUAAACCGUGGCUCAGUUCAGAUCGUAGGCUGCAACUCGCCUACGUGAAGGCGGAAUC